rnacentral:rRNA from 1 species
UCGGGUACGGUCCGGGCUUAAAUUUCUUGGAACAGAAUGUCACAGAGGGUGAGAAUCCCGUCUGGAGUCUGCGACACGGCCUAUGUGAAACUCCUUCGACGAGUCGAGUUGUUUGGGAAUGCAGCUCUAAAUGGGUGGUAAAUUUCAUCUAAAGCUAAAUAUUGGCCAGAGACCGAUAGCGCACAAGUAGAGUGAUCGAAAGAUGAAAAGCACUUUGAAAAGAGAGUUAAACAGUACGUGAAAUUGUUGAAAGGGAAGCGCUGGCAACCAGACUUGCGCGUCGGGGUUCCCCCUGGCUUCUGCCUGGGCUACUCCCCGGCGCUCAGGCCAACAUCGGUUUUGGGGGUCGGUUAAAGGCCCCGGGAAUGUACCUACCCUUCGGGGUAGACUUAUAGCCCGGGGUGUCAUGCGGCCACCCGGGACCGAGGAACGCGCUUCGGCUCGGAUGUUGGCGUAAUGGUUGUCAGCGACCCGUCUUGAAACACGGACCAAGGAGUCUAACAUCUAUGCGAGUGUUAGGGUGUCAAACCCUUACGCGGAAUGAAAGUGAACGGAGGUAGGAAGCCGUAACACGCUGCACUAUCGACCGAUCCUGAAGUUUACGGAUGGAUUUGAGUAAGAGCAUAGCUGUUGGGACCCGAAAGAUGGUGAAC